GUCCCAAUAGCUCAACGGUUUAGAGCACUGGUCUCGUAAACCAGGGGUCGUGGGUUCGAAUCUCACUUAGAGCA
rnacentral:tRNA from 1 species